rnacentral:lncRNA from 1 species
CCCGUGGAAAUGUAAAUAGACAGUGUUCACGCCUAUGCCGUGAGUCUCGUGAAAUCCAAGAUUUGUCGGGGCAGAACCCUACAAAUAGACUGGACUAGAUAUCUUUAGUGCACAUAAUUUUCGACAUUAGACGAAAUUAUGUCACUUUGAUUUUUCUUGGUAGAAAUUUUUGUUCGAUCGAGGUCGUAACCAUGGCAUCAUUUUCGAUAACCUGUGGAAUAACGUACUUUUACAUAGAGUCAGGCUUUCUUCAAAGAUGGAACACAGAAAAUACAACGUCUGAAUUGUGAAAAAAACACAAAUGCAACAUAUAUUAAUAAUCAUAUUACUAAAUAACAUUCGAAUACUUCAUACCUUCUUAAAAGACAUUUUUUAAGCAAAUCUACAGCUAGUUCGAUCCCAGACCUUGUUGAAAUGAUUCAUAACUUAAAGCUGAAUGAUAUCAAUGUAAAGAGCAUAAAGGAGUGCCAGUGUCACAAAUUCUUUGUCUAUAGUUUCGAUUUAUCCAUGUCUUGUGGCGGACUGGGUGACAGACAACGAGUAUUUUGACAAAUGGAGAUGGAAGGUCGUGUUCAUCAAAAUAAAUUUUCAUCUGUUUGAUCAACUCUGGAAACCAGCACAGACAAGUAUUGAUUAUCUUGAACAAUUUGAUAAACAUACAGUACAAGAAAAGACACUUCCGAACAGGAAAGAAUCCAAGUAUACCAGAAGAUAACGUAUUUAGGACAAAAUCUGACGAAACAAUAAUAUUCGAUUUUCUGAAAAAAUACAUUGCGUCUAGCAAAUAUGUCCUUUAUCUAGCAACUGAUUCAGAUUCUGUCCGCCAAAAAAUUAUCAAAAUGUUUGAAAACAGUAUCAAAAUGAAUAUAACUCUAGUUCACAUUGAUCGUUUGGGUAAGUAUAAAAUGUUUCAGAAGCAGGCUUGUGAAGGACUAAAGUUUGCUGUUGUAGAACAGUAUAUUCUUUCUGCUUGUGACAUUUUAAUACUGACAAAGAGUGGAUUUGGAAAGACAACAGCAUAUAUGCGAGGAAAAUAAGAUCAGUUGUAUCUGUUGCACCCAAUAAAAAGACGUGUUGCUUUGUCGGAUUUAAGACAUAUAUAAAGUUUCCAAUAAAAUUGCAUAUGUUCUUCUAAUAACAUAUAGUAUCACACGUCUUUCUUUAAAGUUGUCACGUUAUUUGAGAGAAUAAUUAGAAAGUGUUCGUGAUUUUGUAUAUGUUUUACAAUUCGACCAUUUUCAAGCAUUGAUAUUUUGAUAUAAUAAAAUAUAUCAAAAGAUCCUUUGGAAGCAAAGAAUGCAACCAAAAGGAAUAAUAGCAGACUCAGUUUGAUUGAGUCUGUUCAUGAGAGGUAAUGAAAUGUGCACCACCUCUCACGCACCCUUACACCGGCUUAAAGUAUCCGAUCCAUAAAUGGCUUAAAUUAUUUGCCUGGUUACGUUAUCCUUUUUGGCUGUUUCAUGAAAGUUUACCAUUUGGCAGUUUGAAAAACGCAAAUAGUAAGGAACAUAACUCAACUGGGGAGAUAACUCUUACUAUUAUUUCGUUUACAUGAAAAUGUGACAUAAAUUAACUAAAAAUAGCCAAAGUUUAUAUUUCCAAAUUUUAUUUUGCUAAUAUUUCAAGUGAUUUCCAUUCCAAAUAGUUAUAUGACCUACAAAACACUAUAUUAUUGAAAAAUAAUACAAACAUUUGAAUUUUAAUCGAAGUUAUCUGCAGAUAAAUAAUAAAAAUCUAAAUAUUUUCUCGUAAAAUUUAUAGAUAAAUCACUGAAACCAUUAUGAAUCCAGAUUAUUUGAAGAAGAGUUACAGACCUUUCUACAUUCUUUACCUUCCUGAACCUUUUCAAAAAAUUAAGACAGGUGUAUAUAUAGAUGAAAUAAAAAUUUAAAAGUAUAGGUCAUCAUACAUUUUUUAAUUUUACAAGACAGACUAUAUCAAGGUAAUCAAUAUAAAAAAAGUCUAAUGAGGCUGAAGUUAGCACCAAAAUUAAUCUAAUAUGUUGCAUAUUUUUUGGCUCUUUUUCUAUUUAAACAUUUAAGGAAUACACCUGCUUACUUCAACAGACAAAACAACAUCUUAUCAGCGGUUUGAUACAAUACAUAAUAUUAAUAUACCUUUUUAAAAUAUAAAAUGCAGUAAAUUUAGCUGUCAACAUCGCUUUACAAAUAACCAAAUAGUUGGUACAUAAAAAAACAUAACAUAUUAUUAAGUUGAAAACAGUAUGUUUCAUCAGUUACAUGUUUUCAAGAUUAUAAAUAUGAUAGUAUGAAAUAUUUGCAAGUAAAAGCCAUUAGAAAAACAUGCAAUUCUGUAUUUUAGAAAAAAACAGCAACACUAUAUAAAUAGACUUACCCCACCUACAAGCGAAAAUAAUGCAAAAUCACAAGGAAUUGAAUAUAAAUUUGUUACUUCAAAAUUUCGUGAUUUAUUACAAAUUAUGACUUGAAAGUAGUGUAGUUUACAAUAAAUGUUACAAAUGAAAUGACCUUAGUUCUAUUACAGCUGUUUUCCAUGAAAACUUAUCAAUCCAAACUGGAGAAAACUGGCCCAAAAUAAGUAUAUUUCUCCUUUUUGUUUUUCAGACCUCAGUAAAAAGGUUAUAGCAUUUACAUUACUGACAUGUUCUUUUUUUACCCAUACUGCUUUCAAAUGAAAGAAUCUAAAGUUAUCGGAAACCAUACUAUCAUAAUACUUAAGCAACCUCUUGUAGUCAAAAUUACCCCAGACAUCCAUUGAGAUAUGUCAAAAUAAGUAUGAACCACAGUUCAUCUAAACGCCUGCGGGUGCCUACUCUUGCCUGUAAUUGUUUGACAUUUAACAAUAUGCAACAGAAAGUGUUAUAAAUGGUUUUUGACCGUCUUACUCACUUACUGAUAGUAAAGAAAUGUACAUAGUUUCAAAGCAAAUAGUUCUUAUAGUAUUCACAAACAAGAGCUGUCUGUUGACAGCGCGCUUGACUAUUCGAAGAAUGGAUGGAAGUAUGGGAUCAAAAUAUUACCAGAGAUUUGCAGACAAAAGAUGAAAAAUAGAAUAGACAAACAAUGUACCUGUAUUUGUGGAUAUGGAUAAUUCUUGCACAGUAUGUGACAAUGAUUGUAAGCAAGACUGUUCAGUUUGAAAGCCAAAUAUCAAACAGUUUAGACAAAAUAUUGAAUCGUAUGCGAAACUUAACAAAUUUAUUUCUCACAAAAGGGCCACAACUAAGCUAAAGUCCUUGUCCUAGUUAUGCAGUCUUAUCUACAUAUGUAUAUUAUUAUGGUAAACAAGCGGUAAAAGUUUCAAAGCCAUAUGACAAACAGGUUAGGCAAAAUAUAGACUGGUAUGAAAAAUUUAACUGAUUUUCACAUCCAAAGAGGGUCAUAAUUCAGCCAGAAUAGUUGACAGUGUUAUGUACUCUUGCGUACAAAUGGAGAUCAUGAUGAUAAGCAAGUGCUCAAAGUUUCAAAGCCACAUGUCAAACAAUUUUGACACAACGUUGACUUGUACGAAAACUUCACCAAUUUUCAAAUCCAAAAAGGGCCAUAAUUCAGCCAAAAUAGUUGACAGAGUUGUGCUCUCUUGGCUACAGAUGGAAAUUAUGAUGAUAAGCAAGUGUUCAAAGUUUCAAAGCCACAUGUCAUAAGUUUCGACAAAACAUGGACUUGUACAAAAAUUGAACCAAUUUUCAAGUCCAAAA